GGAGAAAUGACCGAGUGGUAAGGCAGCUCAUUGCUAACGAGUAAUACAGAAAUGUAUCGGAGGUUCGAUUCCUUCUUUCUCCG
rnacentral:tRNA from 1 species